rnacentral:rRNA from 1 species
GGGAAUCUUGCACAAUGGAGGAAACUCUGAUGCAGCGACGCCGCGUGAGCGAAGAAGCCUUUCGGGGUGUAAAGCUCUUACGCCAGGGACGAUAAUGACGGUACCUGGAGAAGCAGCUGCGGCUAACUACGUGCCAGCAGCCGCGGUAAUACGUAGGGAGCAAGCGUUGUUCGGAUUUACUGGGCGUAAAGGGCGCGUAGGCGGCGCGGUAAGUCACUUGUGAAAUCUCUGAGCUUAACUCAGAACGGCCAAGUGAUACUGCUGUGCUAGAGUGCGGAAGAGGCAACCGGAAUUCUUGGUGUAGCGGUGAAAUGCGUAGAUAUCAAGAGGAACACCGGAGGCGAAGGCGGGUUGCUGGGCCGACACUGACGCUGAUGCGCGAAAGCCAGGGGAGCAAACG